CCUCGUGGAUCUGCGACGGCGAGAGCAGGUGCACGUGCGAGUCGAUGCCGCCCGCGGUGAGGAUGCGCCCCUCGCCGGAGAUCACAUCGGUCGACGGCCCGAUCACCAGGUCGGGAUGCACGCCGUCGGCGAUGUCCGGGUUGCCGGCGCGGCCGAUCGCGGCGAUGCGCCCGUCGCGGAUGCCGACGUCGGCGCGCACGAUGCCCCACCAGUCCAGCACGAUGACGUUCGUGAUGACGGUGUCCGGGGCGCCGUCGGCGCGGGUCGCCAUGCCCUGG
rnacentral:sRNA from 1 species